rnacentral:rRNA from 1 species
GACGAACGCUGGUGGCGUGCUUAACACAUGCAAGUCGAACGGAAAGGCCCUGCUUUUGUGGGGUGCUCGAGUGGCGAACGGGUGAGUAACACGUGAGUAACCUGCCCUUGACUUUGGGAUAGCUUCAGGAAACUGGGGCUAAUACCGGAUAGGAGCUCCUGCUGCAUGGUGGGGGUUGGAAAGUUUCGGCGGUUGGGGAUGGACUCGCGGCUUAUCAGCUUGUUGGUGGGGUAGUGGCUUACCAAGGCUUUGACGGGUAGCCGGCCUGAGAGGGUGACCGGCCACAUUGGGACUGAGAUACGGCCCAGACUCCUACGGGAGGCAGCAGUGGGGAGCAUUGCACAAUGGGCGGAAGCCUGAUGCAGCAACGCCGCGUGCGGGAUGACGGCCUUCGGGUUGUAAACCGCUUUCGCCUGUGACGAAGCGUGAGUGACGGUAAUGGGUAAAGAAGCACCGGCUAACUACGUG